AGCGGCGGACGGGUGAGUAACACGUGGGUAACCUGCCCAAGAGACUGGGAUAACACCUGGAAACAGAUGCUAAUACCGGAUAACAACACUAGACGCAUGUCUAGAGUUUGAGAGAUGGUUCUGCUAUCACUCUUGGAUGGACCUGCGGUGCAUUAGCUAGUUGGUAAGGUAACGGCUUACCAAGGCAAUGAUGCAUAGCCGAGUUGAGAGACUGAUCGGCCACAUUGGGACUGAGACACGGCCCAAACUCCUACGGGAGGCAGCAGUAGGGAAUCUUCCACAAUGGACGAAAGUCUGAUGGAGCAACGCCGCGUGAGUGAAGAAGGGUUUCGGCUCGUAAAGCUCUGUUGGUAGUGAAGAAAGAUAGAGGUAGUAACUGGCCUUUAUUUGACGGUAAUUACUUAGAAAGUCACGGCUAACUACGUGCCAGCAGCCGCGGUAAUACGUAGGUGGCAAGCGUUGUCCGGAUUUAUUGGGCGUAAAGCGAGUGCAGGCGGUUCAAUAAGUCUGAUGUGAAAGCCUUCGGCUCAACCGGAGAAUUGCAUCAGAAACUGUUGAACUUGAGUGCAGAAGAGGAGAGUGGAACUCCAUGUGUAGCGGUGGAAUGCGUAGAUAUAUGGAAGAACACCAGUGGCGAAGGCGGCUCUCUGGUCUGCAACUGACGCUGAGGCUCGAAAGCAUGGGUAGCGAACAGGAUUAGAUACCCUGGUAGUCCAUGCCGUAAACGAUGAGUGCUAAGUGU
rnacentral:rRNA from 1 species